UCCCAGGGCGGCCACAGCCAGCACACCGCCGUUGAAGAUCGCCGGUUCGACGAGCGCCUUCUGCUCGACCACGAGCCGAGAUAGCGGUGCCAGCACGAGUACCGUCUCGAUGACGGCCGCCGCCGCGAAGGCAUAGGUCGCGAAGGGCCGCACCGCUAGGCCUGACUGCCAUCGGGCACCGAGGACUUGAAGGAUCAGGCCGAGCGCGAGCCAGGCGACCACGCUCCAGCCCGCCGUCAGCUCGAACGGCAUCAGGUAGGCAAGCGCCACCGCGGCCGCGACGCAGCCCACCCAGCGGUAGACGCGGUCGCCGCUGCCGAACCCGAUCACGAGGGCGGUCGCUGCCACGAUCGCCGUUACCGCGGUCUGCUCGUCCCAGAACGGCUGCGUUCUUCAUCGA
rnacentral:misc_RNA from 1 species